rnacentral:rRNA from 1 species
UACAGAGGUCCCGAGCGUUGUUCGGAUUCACUGGGCGUAAAGCGUGCGUAGGUGGUUGUUUAAGUCUGUUGUGAAAGCCCUGGGCUCAACCUGGGAACUGCAGUGGAAACUGGACAACUAGAGUGUGGUAGAGGGUAGCGGAAUUCCCGGUGUAGCAGUGAAAUGCGUAGAGAUCGGGAGGAACAUCCAUGGCGAAGGCAGCUACCUGGACCAACACUGACACUGAGGCACGAAAGCGUGGGGAGCAAACAGG